AUUGAACGCUGGCGGCAGGCCUAACACAUGCAAGUCGAACGAGUGGCGGACGGGUGAGUAAUGUCUGGGAAACUGCCUGAUGGAGGGGGAUAACUAGUGGAAACGGUAGCUAAUACCGCCUACCAUCGGAUGUGCCCAGAUGGGAUUAGCUAGUAGGUGGGGUAAAGGCUCACCUAGGCGACGAUCCCUAGCUGGUCUGAAGGGAUGACCAGCCCCACUGGAACUGAGCAACGCUCCAGCCUCCUCCGGGAGGCAGCAGUGGGAAAUAUUGCACAAUGGGCGCAAGCCUGAGGCAGCCAUGCCGCGUGUAUGAAGAAGGCCUUCGGGUUGUAAAGUACUUUCAGCGGGGAGGCGUUACCCGCAGAAGAAGCACCGGCUAACUCCGUGCCAGCAGCCGCGGUAAUUC
rnacentral:rRNA from 1 species